rnacentral:tRNA from 1 species
GCCGAAGUGGCGGAAGUGGCAGACGCGCGCGACUCAAAAUCGCGUUCCUUCGGGAGUGUGGGUUCGACUCCCACCUUCGGCA